rnacentral:rRNA from 1 species
AACGAACGCUGGCGGCAGGCUUAACACAUGCAAGUCGAACGGUCUCUUCGGAGGCAGUGGCAGACGGGUGAGUAACGCGUGGGAACAUACCUUUCGGUACGGAACAACAGUUGGAAACGACUGCUAAUACCGUAUACGCCCUGAGGGGGAAAGAUUUAUCGCCGAGAGAUUGGCCCGCGUUGGAUUAGCUAGUUGGUGGGGUAAUGGCCUACCAAGGCGACGAUCCAUAGCUGGUCUGAGAGGAUGAUCAGCCACACUGGGACUGAGACACGGCCCAGACUCCUACGGGAGGCAGCAGUGGGGAAUAUUGGACAAUGGGCGCAAGCCUGAUCCAGCCAUGCCGCGUGAGUGAUGAAGGCCUUAGGGUUGUAAACUUCUUUUAUACGGGAAUAAAGUGCCCCACGCGUGGGUUUUGCAUGUACCGUAUGAAUAAGGAUCGGCUAAC